rnacentral:rRNA from 1 species
UACGAAGGGGCUAGCGUUGUUCGGAAUUACUGGGCGUAAAGCGCGCGCAGGCGGUUCUUCAAGUCAGAGGUGAAAGCCCAGAGCUCAACUCUGGAAUGGCCUUUGAGACUAGAGAACUAGGGUACGGGAGAGGUGAGUGGAAUUCCGGAGUGUAGAGGUGAAAUUCGUAGAUAUUCGGAAGAACACCAGUGGCGAAGGCGGCUCACUGGCCCGUUACCGACGCUCAGGCGCGACAGCGUGGGGAGCAAACAGG